rnacentral:rRNA from 1 species
AGCGAACGCUGGCGGCAGGCCUAACACAUGCAAGUCGAACGACCCCUCCGUGGUUAGUGGCUGACGGGUGAGUCACACGGGGGAACGUGCAUGUAGGCACGGAAUAAUACAGGGAAACUUGUGCUAAUACCGAAAAUGUCCUUCGGGGGCAAGAUUCAUCGCAUUUAGGGCGGCCGGUGUCUGUUUAACUAGUUGGGUGUGGUAAUGGCGCACCAAGGCGACAAACAGUAGCUGGUCUGAGAGGAUGAUCAGCCACAUUUGGACUGAGACACGGCCCAGACUCCUACGGGAGGCAGCAGUGGGGAAUCUAGCGCAAUGGGCGAAAGCCUGACGCAGCCAUGCCUCGUGAAUGAUGAAGGUCUUAGAAAUGUAAAAUUCUUUCACCGGGGACGAUAAUGACGGUACCCGGAGAAGAAGCCCCGGCUAACUUCGUG